rnacentral:rRNA from 1 species
AACGCGAAGAACCUUACCUGGGCUCGAAAUGUACAGGAAUCCGGUGGAAACAUCGGCGUCCCGCAAGGGACCUGUAUAUAGGUGCUGCAUGGCUGUCGUCAGCUCGUGUCGUGAGAUGUUGGGUUAAGUCCCGCAACGAGCGCAACCCUUACUUCCAGUUGCCAUCAUUCAGUUGGGCACUCUGGCAGAACCGCCUCGGAUAACGGGGAGGAAGGUGGGGAUGACGUCAAGUCCUCAUGGCCUUUAUGUCCAGGGCUACACACGUGCUACAAUGGUCGGUACAAACCGUCGCAAACCCGUGAGGGGGAGCUAAUCGGAAAAAGCCGACCUCAGUUCGGAUCGUAGUCUGCAACUCGACUACGUGAAGCUGGAAUCGCUAGUAAUCGCGGAUCAGAAUGCCGCGGUGAAUACGUUCCCGGGCCUUGUACACACCGCUCGCGA